AGGAGGUUGGCUUAGAAGCAGCCAUCCUUGAAAGAGUGCGUAAUAGCUCACUGGUCGAGUGGUCCUGCGCCGACAAUGUAGUGGGGCUCAAGCACACCGCCGAAGCCGCGGCAAUACUUUUUGUAUUGGGUAGGGGAGCGUCGUGCAUGUGUUGAAGCGUUACCGUAAGGCGGCGUGGAGUGUGUGCGAGUGAGAAUGCAGGCAUGAGUAACGAAUUGGAAGGUGAGAAUCCUUCCCGCCGGAUGACUAAGGGUUCCUGGGUCAAGUUCGUCUUCCCAGGGUGAGUCGGGACCUAAGGCGAGGCCGACAGGCGUAGUCGAUGGAUAACCAGUUGAUAUUCUGGUACCCGUAUAUCCGCGCCCAUGAUAAAGCACUGAUACUAACCACCGCGGAUACGAUUGGCCCACUCUUUGAGUGGGGUGGUUGUUGAUGUCGUGGGGCCUGAUGUGUGGUUCAAGUGAUGGGGUGACACAGUGUAGUAGCCAUGCCGCUUAGUGGAUUGUUGGUGUAAGCGUGUGAGGUGGUGUGUAGGCAAAUCCGCACACCGUUUAACCUGAGGCGUGAUGCGUAGCCCAAAUGUGGGUGAAGUUGGUGAUCUAGUACUGUCGAGAAAAGCCUCUAGCGAUGUGGAUGUAUGGCCCGUACCCUAAACCGACACAGGUGGUCAGGUUGAAAAUACUAAGGCGUUCGGGUGAACUGUGGUUAAGGAACUCGGCAAAAUGCCCCCGUAACUUCGGGAGAAGGGGGACCACACGACUUCGGCAUUCUUUGCGUUUGCUUUGGGGUUGUGGGGUCGCAGAGAAUAGAGGGAAGCGACUGUUUAUCAAAAACACAGGUCCAUGCGAAGACGUUAAGUUGAUGUAUAUGGACUGACGCCUGCCCGGUGCUGGAAGGUUAAGAGGACCGGUUAGUAGUCUUUGACUGCGAAGCUGAGAAUUUAAGCCCCAGUAAACGGCGGUGGUAACUAUAACCAUCCUAAGGUAGCGAAAUUCCUUGUCGGGUAAGUUCCGACCUGCACGAAUGGCGUAACGAC
rnacentral:rRNA from 1 species